CGGGCUAUUAGCUCAGUGGGUAGAGCGCGCCCCUGAUAAUUGCGGUUCAAGUCCAGGAUGGCCCA
rnacentral:tRNA from 1 species